CCCUAAUUCGAAAAUUGGGGUUUAAAUUCGAAAAUUAUUCAAUACGUUUCUGUGAUACAACUCGAAAAUUAGGAUUUGUUGGUUAGGAUACAACCAGAGAUUUAUUCAAUACGUUUCUGUGAUUGCUUGUUGAAUCAAAGCAAUGUUGAUGAACUGAUGCUGUUUUGAUUUUCCUUGCUGCCGAUGUUGUUUUUCGGAGGUUUUUCGGACUUAGCUUGUUCGAAAAUGCGAAAAUUUGUUUGUCCGAAAUUAGAAAGACGGUUUUCUUGCUUUUAGUUGUACUAGUCUGAUAACAUCCUCAUAGUUAUUUCCAUAGCUUGUUUCUUUUGUAGAUGUCUUAUUGCCAUUUCUAAGAGGAUAGUAUUCCGUAGUUGUGACUUACGAUCUGAUGCUUACUUUUAUGAAACUUAAAAGUAUUUUCCGUGAUAAUCAUGUAGUUGCAAGCAGUGCUAAAGUCAGAUUGCGGAAGAUUUUCGUUUGCUAAUGACUGUAAGACUAAGGUGGACAGCGCUAUUUCUUUCAUGUUCUAUAGCUCAUACAUUAUUUUUUGGGUCAUCAAGCUCAUACAUCCUUCACAAUUGAUACCAGUUCUUAUUCAUUUUGUAGGAGGUGCUUGGAGCUGGUGGAGCGGUUGUUAUGUUUAGAGGGCACCAAGGCAGUACAAGUGUAGUGAAGUUUCAGUCCCUAUUCCAUGAGUUUUGGGGUGGUUUCGGGGCUCAAACAGAGUGAUGCUCUGCCCAUUUAAUUUGCUUCCCAUUGGACUUUCAAGGCCAGUCUUUCUCGUGCAGUGUUAGGGAACUCGAAAAGGCGGUGAAAGAGAUUGAAGCUAUUCAAAUGAAUCAAAGGCCAAGAAAAAUGAUCAAUUUGUUGUAAUUUGGAAUAUCAAGUUGUAAUUUGUUGGAAUUAGUUGUAGUAUCAAGUUUUAGUUUUGAGAAACCUAACUUUGUAUGUAAUUGAUAAUUGUGAUGAGAAUGGCCCGGCAUGGGUUUUAAAUUUAUUGGAUUGUGAAUGUUUAUAUACAAUAUCUAUUUCAGUUU